AUACGGAGGGUGCAAGCGUUAUUCGGAAUCACUGGGCGUAAAGGACGCGUAGGCGGGUUGGCAAGUCAGAUGUGAAAUCCUACAGCUUAACUGUAGAACUGCAUUUGAAACUGCUAACCUAGAGUAUGGGAGGGGGAGAUGGAAUUAGUGGUGUAGGGGUAAAAUCCGUAGAUAUCACUAGGAAUACCGAAAGCGAAGGCGAUCUCCUGGAACAUAACUGACGCUAAGGCGUGAAAGCGUGGGGAGCUAACAGGAUUAGAAACCCGAGUAGUCC
rnacentral:rRNA from 1 species